rnacentral:lncRNA from 1 species
GUACCAGCCUUACACCAUGUGGGGAGACUACUCGACCCAUCCAACCGCUACACACCAUAGAAAUCACAGCGAGGCUACCAGAUAUUGUGACGAAGUCACCAGAUACAGAUAUUGUGGCAGAGCCACCAGAACAGAUAUAUGUGGCAGAGCCACCAAAUCAGAUAAUUAUGGCAUAGCCACCAGGACAGAUAUAUGUGGCAGAGCCACCAGAUCAGAUAAUUGUGGCAUAGGCACCAGGACGCUUCCUCCAUAGUAUAACCCAAGUCCCC